CUCAUACUCAGUUGCCAUGGAAAUUUAUCUCCCAGCUGGGACAGAGAACAUCCAUAAGGGCUCAAGACAGAAGCUCUUUUCAGGAGUAAGAAUUCUCCACAACUAUCUUGAUCAUAAAUAGAGUGCGGAUGGCUGGCCUGUACCAGUAGUAAUGGUGGCAGCAGGACAAGACAUCCCCUGAAGAAAGGCUUAACUGAUGUGAUUACCCAGUGUGGCAAGUACAAAAAAUGGAGAGUACAUUCAAAGGAAAUGCCUACAUGGAUCCAACAAGUCUCAAUUGUUCUAGAAAAUACAAUCUGAUGUAAUGGAAAAGCCUAGAAAAAGCCUAAGAUUUUUUUGAGCCACUUUUUGG